ACAGCGUGGAGCAUGUGGUUUAAUUCGAAGCAACGCGAAGAACCUUACCAGGUCUUGACAUCCCGAUGCUAUUUCUAGAGAUAGAAAGUUACUUCGGUACAUCGGUGACAGGUGGUGCAUGGUUGUCGUCAGCUCGUGUCGUGAGAUGUUGGGUUAAGUCCCGCAACGAGCGCAACCCCUAUUGUUAGUUGCCAUCAUUCAGUUGGGCACUCUAGCGAGACUGCCGGUAAUAAACCGGAGGAAGGUGGGAUGACGCCAAAUCAUCAUGCCCCUUAUGACCUGGGCUACACACGUGCUACAAUGGUUGGUACAACGAGUUGCGAGUCGGUGACGGCGAGCUAAUCUCUUAAAGCCAAUCUCAGUUCGGAUUGUAGGCUGCAACUCGCCUACAUGAAGUCGGAAUCGCUAGUAAUCGCGGAUCAGCACGCCCGCGGUCGAAUACGUUCCCGGGCCUU
rnacentral:rRNA from 1 species